UUGUGAGAAUUUCACAAGUAUUUCUCAUUAUAUUUUGAUCUUUGAACAUUAAAUCAUAUAUGUUCAAUGACCUCUAUAAAAUUCUCCAUUCGAUCAACUUUGCUACUUUGCUUGGUUUUGUUUUCUCUAUUAGCUCUCCAUCAUUGUGAUGCAAGUACAAAUGUUGUAGCCAAUCAAUGCAUCCCAAUUCAUGAGCAAAGCAAUCCAGUACCCAUAUGGUGUUGCCCAGCAGAUUUAGAAUGCUAUGAUAAUAACCAAACAUGUCAUGAUAAUUGCUAAUAAUGAUAACUUUUCAAUAACAACAAUAAUAUAUUCAGAGAAAUUUCACGAGUGGAUAAUUUUCAAGAAUAAUAUAAUAUUUUUAAUUUGAAAAAGCAUUAUGGUUUUCCUCGAUUAGUACACGUGAGUUUCAUGUUACAAAUUAUGUUGAUGUAUAACGAUAACAAAAUAACUUGAUUAUAUUGUUAAUAAAGUUCAAUUUCAGUUAUCAAUUUGUACUCUAAUUUUAUAUAUCUAUAUCAUAUUUUUCUUA